GGCGUUAUAGUGUAGUGGUCAUCACUCGGGAUUUUGAUUUGUCGUCAUUUCAUCAUCAUCUUCCCGAAACCCAGGUUCGAACCCUGGUAACGCCU